rnacentral:rRNA from 1 species
AGGAUAAUUUAAUACCAAUAAUUUUUAUGAGCCCCACUUUCGUAUCAAGCAAUUCUAUAUAGUUAUAGAAAUUUUUAUGUUAAAACUAGUAACAAGAAGAAAACCUUCUCCUAAUGCAAGCGUAAAUCAGGAAGGAUAUACCACUGAUAAUUAACAUCCCUGAACCCACAGUAGCAACCACACAAGAAAACUCUACCACAUUCUAUGUUAACCUAACACAAGAGCAUUACAGGAAAGAUUAAAAGAGAAAGAAGGAACUCGGCAAACUUUAACCCCGCCUGUUUACCAAAAACAUCGCCUCUUGACCAAUUAUAAGAGGUCCAGCCUGCCCAGUGACUCUGUUCAACGGCCGCGGUAUCCUAACCGUGCGAAGGUAGCGUAAUCACUUGUUCUUUAAAUGAGGACUAGUAUGAAUGGCACCACGAAGGUUAUACUGUCUCCUUUCUUUAAUCAGUGAAACUAAUCUCCCCGUGAAGAAGCGGGGAUAAAUAUAUAAGACGAGAAGACCCUAUGGAGCUUUAAACAAGUAACAACUGCCUUAUUAAUCUCUUAAUCUCAGGAGAUUUACCCCUUAUUCAGGCAUUUUGAUUACAAGUUUUAGGUUGGGGUGACCGCGGAGCAUAAAAUAACCUCCACAGUGAACGGGACUCAUUCCCUAAACCAAGGGCUACAACCCUAAGCAUCAAUAAAUUGACACCUAUUGACCCAAUAUUUUGAUCAAUGAACCAAGUUACCCUAGGGAUAACAGCGCAAUCCACUUCAAGAGCCCCUAUCGACAAGUGGGUUUACGACCUCGAUGUUGGAUCAGGAU